CCCCUGCACCGUGAAGACAUUCCCUCGCUCCCUGAGCUGAGCAGCCGGCAGAGACAAAGGGGGCAAGCUCAGGAAGUGUAGGCUCGGCCAACUGCCUUAGUAAAUUACCUUUCAUGUUCUUAGGAGACGCUUCCAGGGCAUACUUCCCACUCUCUGCUACAAGAUGACGGAGAUGACGAGAUGACGUUGUGCCUACUCGCUUCACAGGAGAGCCAGCUGCUGUGUCGUGAGGACACUGAAAAGGACACUGAAGCAGUUCCUCAGAGAGGCCCGCGUGGUAAGUCAACAGCCGUGUGAGUGAGACUUUUUGGAAGCAGCUCUCCCAUCCAGUCGAGCCUUCAGAUGACUGCCGCCCUGGCCAACAAACAGACCUUGUGGGAGAACGUGAGCCAGAACCACCCCAUAGACCAGAUUCCCAACCCUUGGAAACUAUGUGAGAUCAUAUUUGUUGUUUCAAAUUGCUAC